rnacentral:rRNA from 1 species
AGUGAACGCUGGCGGUAGGCCUAACACAUGCAAGUCGAACGGCAGCACAGUAAGAGCUUGCUCUUACGGGUGGCGAGUGGCGGACGGGUGAGGAAUACAUCGGAAUCUACUUUUUCGUGGGGGAUAACGUAGGGAAACUUACGCUAAUACCGCAUACGACCUACGGGUGAAAGCAGGGGAUCUUCGGACCUUGCGCGAUUGAAUGAGCCGAUGUCGGAUUAGCUAGUUGGCGGGGUAAAGGCCCACCAAGGCGACGAUCCGUAGCUGGUCUGAGAGGAUGAUCGGCCACCCUGGAACUGAGCCACGGUCCAGACUCCUACGGGAGGCAGCAGUGGCGAAUAUUGGACAAUGGGCGCAAGCCUGAUCCAGCCAUACCGCGUGGGUGAAGAAGGCCUUCGGGUUGUAAAGCCCUUUUGUUGGGAAAGAAAAGCAGCAGGUUAAUACCCCGCUGUUCUGACGGUACCCAAAGAAUAAGCACCGGCUAACUUCGUG